CGGGACUCUGGAGAGACUCUUAUUUUAAGGGCGCCGAAGGGGCAAAGCAGAUCAUCGCUCAAACUCUCAGGCAAAAGGACAGAGACA
rnacentral:ncRNA from 1 species